GUGGGGGUUAGGGGGGCACCGAGCAUUGUACUUCCCUGCAGACCCCCAGGGGCUGGGGCUGCUGAGGGGCUGCUCAGCACCUGUCCCGACCCCUCUGCUGCCCUCCUGGCUGCUGAUGGCUCCUGCCAGAUGCCCUGUUGUAGCAGGAUGUUGUUGGGAGUAUGGCCACCACCACCACCUACCUCCCAUGUGGACCACUUGUGCCACCCAAGAGGGCCUCCCUCUCUCCCCAACCUCGGUUCAGUAAACCCAGGGACCCCAUGCGUACCUCCAGAAGUGCAGCUGUGUUCUCCAAGCCCAGUGACUGACAGCUCCCCCUAAUGCCAUGGCUGCCGUGAGGGAGGAGUAGCUCCCCCAAGUUUCCCCAAGGUGGGCCCUGCAGCCCCCGUUCAGCCUUGGCGUGUUGCCCUGGCUCCCCACAUCUACGGAUUUGGGGCCUUCUCUUCUUAUUGAUUUCCUGUCACUGCAAUAACAGAUUCCCACAGACUUAGUGGCUUAAAACAACACAAAUGUAUCAUCUCACAGUUCCAGAGGGUGGAAGUCCAAACCGGGUCUCCCUGAGCGAGGGUCAAGGUGUUGGCAGGACUGCUUCCUUCUGGGGCCUCGAGGGUGAAUCUGUGCUCUUGGCUUUUCAGGCUUCUAGAAACUGCUUCAUUCCUUGGCAGUGGCCCCUCCCUGGAUCUUCAAAACCAGCAAUGGCAGGUUGAGUCAUUCCCAUGUCACCUGAUGGUGACUCUUUCCUGCUUCCGUCUUCUACUCACGGGGACCCCUGUGAUGACUUUGGGAGCACCUGGAUGAUCCAGGAAACUCUCCCCAUCUGAGGGAAUGGUUGGCAACCGUAAUUCCAACUGCAACCUUCAUUGUCCUGUGUCAUAGCAUAUUCACAGGCUCUAGGGACUAGGUUGUGACAUCUUCAAGGGGCCAUUAUUCCACCUCCCACACCUUCCCAACCCUGGCUGUGCUGGCCCUGACUGAGAGGAGGGGGUUUCCACUUCCGUCACCUGGCAAGGGAACCUCCACAGCCCAAGAAUAUUAACAUUUAUCAGGUGCCGGGCAUGGGCCUCAUGUGUUUUAUGUAAUUCAAUCCUCCCAACAAAAGUAUGAGAGCCAGCCCUGCAGCACAGCCUUCAACAUGAGCAACUCCUGCUCUCUGUAGCUCCAGCCCCAGCCUGGACCUAUCUUUCAGAGCCAUAAUGCUGAGACAGUCCCUGAGUCUUGGAUGAACACAGGACUCACAGUGUCUACACCGGACAGUUUCUGUUUGCACGACGUUGAGUAAACUUCACAUCCAUCGGGGAAGUUACCCUUUGGGAUUACUGAUGAAGGUGAGGAGAAGAUGCUGUUCUGAGAGCUGCUGAUAAUACGUGGAUCCAAACCCACAGGCUUGAGCUGCUUAAUUGAAAUUCACGUCAAAAUGAAAUUCUGGUUUAGCUCAACUUGACUACUAUGGAUGAUGAAAAUAAAUCCCUGGGUCACACAAGGAUAGUGAUUGAGUAGAGCUUGUUUGCUGGCACAGGAAUGACAUUUCAACUGGAAUUAAAUUGUCGUCAGUUAACAGAACUGAAUUUUCAGUCAUUCUUUGACUUGAAUUUUCUUUUUUCCCAAGAUAACAUGGACAGGACCCAG
rnacentral:lncRNA from 1 species